CACAAGAGCUACAGACAUGACUGGUCUGAGUCCAGGAAGAGAAUAUACAUUCACACUCUGCACUGCUGUGGGAGACAGUGUUGAGAGCAGUGGUGUGUCAGUCAGGGUCUGUACAGGCUCUGGAUCAUGGCUCUCCUCCCUCAGAGCAGCAGGUGCCGGAGCUGGGAGGACCCUCAGAGCUUUGUCACGCCCCCUUUGGAAUGCGGUGCUGUCCGUACCCCCAGUCCGCUGGUC